AGCUCGUAGUUGGAUUUCUGUUGAGGAAGGCCGGUCCGCACUAUGUGCGUGUAUCUGGUUCUGCCUUGGCAUCCUCUUGAGGAACGUAUCUACGCUUGAUUGCGUGGAGCGGUAUUCAAGACUUUUACUUUGAGGAAAUUAGAGUGUUCACGGCAGGCAAGCGCCUUGAAUACAUUAGCAUGGAAUAAUAAUAUAGGAUCUUGGUUCUAUUUUGUUGGUUUCUAGAGCUAGGAUAAUGAUUAAUAGGGAUAAUUGGGGGCAUUUGUAUUAACGCGUCAGAGGUGGAAUUCUUGGAUUGCGUUACGACAAACUACUGCGAAAGCAUUUGCCAAGGAUGUUUUCAUUGAUCAAGAACGAAAGUAUGGGGAUCGAAGAUGAUUAGAUACCGUCGUAGUUUAUACCAUAAACUAUGCCGACUAGGGAUUGGAGGUCGUUCUUUUUAUGACUCCUUCAGCACCUUAUGAGAAAUCAAAGUCUUUGGGUUCCGGGGGGAGUAUAGUCGCAAGGCUGAAACUUAAAGGAAUUGACGGAAGGGCACCACCAGGAGUGGAGCCUGCGGCUUAAUUUGACUCAACACGGGGAAACUCACCAGGUCCAGACAUAGUAAGGAUUGACAGAUUGAUAGCUCUUUCUUGA
rnacentral:rRNA from 1 species